AAUAGAUACCCAGGUAGUCCACGCCGUAAACGUUGGGCGCUAGAUGUGGGGACCUUUCCACGGUUUCCGUGUCGUAGCUAACGCAUUAAGCGCCCCGCCUGGGGAGUACGGCCGCAAGGCUAAAACUCAAAGGAAUUGACGGGGGCCCGCACAAGCGGCGGAGCAUGCGGAUUAAUUCGAUGCAACGCGAAGAACCUUACCAAGGCUUGACAUGCACGAGAACGGGCCAGAAAUGGUCAACUCUUUGGACACUCGUGAACAGGUGGUGCAUGGUUGUCGUCAGCUCGUGUCGUGAGAUGUUGGGUUAAGUCCCGCAACGAGCGCAACCCUCGUCGCAUGUUGCCAGCACGUUAUGGUGGGGACUCAUGUGAGACUGCCGGGGUCAACUCGGAGGAAGGUGGGGAUGACGUCAAAUCAUCAUGCCCCUUAUGUCUUGGGCUUCACGCAUGCUACAAUGGCCGGUACAAAGGGCUGCGAUGUCGUAAGGCGGAGCGAAUCCCAAAAAGCCGGUCUCAGUUCGGA
rnacentral:rRNA from 1 species